rnacentral:rRNA from 1 species
AGUGAACGCUGGCGGUAGGCCUAACACAUGCAAGUCGAACGGCAGCACAGUAAGCGCUUUCUCUUACGGGUGGCGACUGGCGGACGUGUGACGUAUACAUCGUAAUCUACUUAUUCGGGGAGCAUAACGAAGGGAAACUUAAGCUACUACAGCAUCCGACCUACGGGUGAAAGCAUGGUAUCUUCGCACCUUGCGCGAGUGGGUCAGCCGAUGUCGGAUUUGCUAGUGGGCGGAGUAAAGGCCCAACGAGGCGACGAUCCGUAGCUGGUGUGAGAGGAUGAUCAGCCACCCCGGAACUGAGACUGGGUCAAGAGUCCUACGGGAGCCGGCAGUAGGGGAUAUUGGACAUGGGGCGCAAGCGUGAGCCAGCCAUACCGCGUGGGUGAGGAAGGCGUUCGGGUUGUAAAGCCCUAUUGUUGGGAAAGAAAAGAUGCAGGUUAAGACCGCGCUGUACUGACGGUACCAGAAGAAUAAGCAACGGCUAACUUCGUG